GACGAACGCUGGCGGCGUGCUUAACACAUGCAAGUCGAACGGAAAGGCCCUGCUUUUGUGGGGUGCUCGAGUGGCGAACGGGUGAGUAACACGUGAGUAACCUUCCCUUGACUUUGGGAUAACUUCAGGAAACUGGGGCUAAUACCGGAUAGGAGCUCCUGCUGCAUGGUGGGGGUUGGAAAGUUUCGGCGGUUGGGGAUGGACUCGCGGCUUAUCAGCUUGUUGGUGGGGUAGUGGCUUACCAAGGCUUUGACGGGUAGCCGGCCUGAGAGGGUGACCGGCCACAUUGGGACUGCGAUGCGGCCCAGACUCCGACGGGAGGCAGCAGGGGGGAAUAUUGCACAAUGGGCGGAAGCCUGAUGCAGCAACGCCGCGUGCGGGAUGACGGCCUUCGGGUUGUAAACCGCUUUCGCCUGUGACGAAGCGUGAGUGACGGUAAUGGGUAAAGAAGCACCGGCUAACUACGUG
rnacentral:rRNA from 1 species